UAGGGAAUCUUCCACAAUGGACGCAAGUCUGAUGGAGCAACGCCGCGUGAGUGAAGAAGGUUUUCGGAUCGUAAAGCUCUGUUGUUGGUGAAGAAGGAUAGAGGUAGUAACUGGCCUUUAUUUGACGGUAAUCAACCAGAAAGUCACGGCUAACUACGUGCCAGCAGCCGCGGUAAUACGUAGGUGGCAAGCGUUGUCCGGAUUUAUUGGGCGUAAAGCGAGCGCAGGCGGAAGGAUAAGUCUGAUGUGAAAGCCCUCGGCUUAACCGAGGAACUGCAUCGGAAACUGUUUUUCUUGAGUGCAGAAGAGGAGAGUGGAAUUCCAUGUGUAGCGGUGGAAUGCGUAGAUAUAUGGAAGAACACCAGUGGCGAAGGCGACUCUCUGGUCUGCAACUGACGCUGAGGCUCGAAAGCAUGGGUAGCGAACAGG
rnacentral:rRNA from 1 species